rnacentral:lncRNA from 1 species
CACCCUCAAGGCAAGCCAGGCAGCGGGCUUGCCAAAACCAGAGUUUCUGACAAGGCAGGGAUGUCCCCGGCUGGUUUCAUCAUCAGAACAGCAUUUUCCAGCGGUUUCUCUAGCAGUGAGGUGGCGAGAAAGAAAGCAUAGCAGCUCAGAAUAUAAGGAGGAUUAGAAGAGUGCAUUGCCUAAGAAGGCAUCCUCGUCCUGUUUGCAGCUAUGUCAAGAGAUCCCACACAUAGAAGUUUUCUGUGCCCCACGUAUGAGCUCUUUCCCUUAUGCAAGCAAGCCAAGACAGGACUGGCGUGAGUGGGAUGGAGGUUUUGGGACCACACCUAGCUCACAGAAACUUGAUUUGGAGCCAGCUGUGGUGUACGCCAAUAAAACCUGCAAUCAGUGACAGCUUUCAUCCCAAAUGUGCCCGGGCUGACUUCCCUUUCAAAAUAAUGGAGGAUGAGACUGCAAGCAGGUAUGUAAGCGGGCUUAUUAAAAAGACGCUUCAGAGCACAACUCUGGCUUUUGCUAUGAGACAGUAGGCCGUCCAGCACAGGGUGAACUCCCAGGUGCACCCACUGAAACAAAGCGUGCAGCUAGGGGAUGAAGGAGGCUGGAUGACCAAACACCCCUUCCUUGCCAAAGAAGGGGUGAGGAGGAGGAUGCACACCCUGCACUGAGAGCCACCGUCUAUUUUAUUUGCUAAUGACUGAAACCUGUGGCAGACUCAUACCCCUGAUAGGAUCUCAGAACUCUCUGCUCAAGACUGGAAGUGGCUGUUGCGAAAGAGCUGGGAGAAAUGUUAUGGUUCUGUUGUUUAUUCAUGAUGAGUUGCAGGUUUUAGGUCUCUCAGUGAAACACUGCUCCCACACUCAGUCUCCCGAAAGCCUCCAUAUUCUGUCUCUUUUGGUAUUAAAAGAGAUGCGGUGUUCUUCGCUUCUGUCCUCCAGUAUAAGCAGCUGUCAGGACUUCUGCAAUGUGAGGCGCUGGCACAGCUGCCCAGAGAAGCUGUGGUGCCCCAUCCCUGGAGGCGCUCAAGGCCACGAACAAGGUGGUCCUUACAAAACCUGAAAGUUCCCCAGGAUAUGGAGGAAGCAGAAGAAAAAGAAAGACAUGGAAAAAAAGAACUGAUUAUGAGGGACAAAAAUGAAACAAAGGGAAGACAUGCUGAUGGGUGCUCUGCCCCACAGUGUGGGAGGAUGAACUACAUGUUCCAAUAAAUGUACUAUCUAAAUUGUCAGAGUUCUGUGCCCCUUUUCUUAGCUUUGGUUUUCUUUCUUUUCCGGUGUACAAUACGUGCAGCACUGAAUUUUGCAGUAAUGUAUGUCACAUGAAAUUGUUUACCUGAAUACACAGUGCAAAAAAUUGCAGGACUCGACCAGCAGAUAGGUUUGUAGAACCUGUGAUUUUUAUGUAAAGUGUUGUAAAAUCAUCUCUGUACAGAGGACUGCACUUCGAUAUAGUGUCCCUUGUAUAGCUUAGAAAACCAUAACAAUAAACAACACAAUGUACAGCAUGC